UGUGUGUGAGGGUGCUUUUAGUGUGAUGUGAGGGUGUUUGUGACUGUGCUGUUUGUGUGUUAGGGUGUUUGUGUGUGUUUGUCCUGUGAGGGUGCUGUUUGUGUGAGUGUCAUGUAUUUGUGAGGGUGCUAUUAGUGUGCUGUGUGUGAGUGUGUUGUGUUUUUUUUUAAAGGUACUGUGUGUGUUUGUGAGGGUGCAGUUAGUGUACUGUGUGUGUGUGAGCGUGCUGUAUGUGUGUAGGUGCUGUAUGUGUGUGUGCUGUAUGUUUGGGGGGAUUGUGGAGGUGGCUGCCAUGUGCCAUCCCUGGUGGUCCAGUGGGAACGCUGUUCCUGCAGGACUCAAACCAUAGGCGUGCCACGGGGAUUAGCGUGUGCCCAGGCACACCCGGCACACCCCGUGCGCACGCCUAUGAGGUCUGGUAUUGUUUGUCAGGCCAAGCAAAGCUCUAUAUUGUUGUAAGUGGUUAGGAUGUGUGUGAUCUAAUAAAGAGAUUCGAAACAACUCUUACUUAUGUGCAAUUUUGCGUGCUUAAUUUUCUUAUAUAAAAUAGCUGCUACUACAAAG